rnacentral:rRNA from 1 species
UAGGGAAUCUUCCGCAAUGGACGAAAGUCUGACGGAGCAACGCCGCGUGAGUGAAGAAGGAUUUCGGUUCGUAAAACUCUGUUGUUAGGGAAGAAAAAAUGUAUAGUAACUAUAUACAAAAGAGACGGUACCUAACCAGAAAGCCACGGCUAACUACGUGCCAGCAGCCGCGGUAAUACGUAGGUGGCAAGCGUUGUCCGGAAUUAUUGGGCGUAAAGCGCGAGCAGGUGGUUUAGAAAGUCUGAUGUGAAAGCCCACGGCUCAACCGUGGAGGGUCAUUGGAAACUAAUAAACUUGAGUGCAGGAGAGAAAAGUGGAAUUCCUAGUGUAGCGGUGAAAUGCGUAGAGAUUAGGAGGAACACCGGUGGCGAAAGCGGCUUUUUGGCCUGCAACUGACACUGAGGCGCGAAAGCGUGGGGAGCAAACAGG